rnacentral:tRNA from 1 species
GAGCCGUUGGCUCGGUGGUAAGGCGGCAGGGUGCCAGCCUGCCCACCCGAGUUCGAUCCCCAGAUCGGCUCG